GGCUUAAAACCUUGCACUUACAAAGCUCCUCUACCAAACCAGUUGCCAUUUGUUGUGCUUCUCCUCACUUCCCGUCUUCUUCCUCCUCCUCCUUCUCCUCUUCUCAAGAUCUCUUCUUUUUCCUCUCAAUUCACUCCACUUCUCUCCCCUUCACACAUUUUCUUGACCGUUCCUUCCCGCCAAAACUCAACAAAAAGAACUAAUGCUAGAAACAGUAAUGGCACUUACAUGAGCAUUGCUUACUUGAAGUAUCGAGUAGUUGUGAAGGCACUCAAUUCUUCUUCUGUAAAUAGCAGGGAGCCCAUAUUUCCUCUUUACAAUGUCUUAAUCACUGGUUCAACAAAAGUUUCUUUAUUUUCUUUCUUCUCUGGUUAAUGGUUUUUUUUUUUUCGAAUUAAGGUCCCAAUUAACCAAGUUAAUGAUUCUCUACUUCUUUCACAAUCAAGUUCAUUCUAAGUAAAUCCGACUUGCAAUGGUUUUAGUGGGGAUAUUUGAUGUUAAGUUUAUAUGAUUAAUAGCCUGUUGUGCUAAGUAACCCUCUUGACCCAAAGGCUUGAAAUCGUGGGACUUGACAUUUUGAGUUGAUAUAUUGAAAGAAUAUGAAGCUUGCAAUUGAUGUAUCAAGUUGCUUGUAUUUACUGUUGUUGACUGCAAUCUUUGACAGCUGAACGGGUGGAGCCUGCUGUUCAGAGCCUGAGUGGUUUUACUUAAAAUCAUUGAUGGAAGGCCAGUGGUGACCGAAAAUGAAGUCACCGUCUUAAAAGAUCUGUUACAAGCAAACAUGACGGUUGACGAUGUAGCUUGAAGGAAUAUUGUUGAUCCAGCAGUUCACAAGGAGUGUUCAGAUGAAUCUCUGAAGAUGGUGAUGGAGAUAUGUAUUCGAUGUCUUUCCAGUGAAUCAUCUGAUAGACCAUCAGUUGAGGAUGUGCUCUGGAACUUGCAAUUUGCACCCGAAGUUCAGGAACCGUCAUGCAAAGGAGAUUUUCAGAACAAGCAAGAACCGAAUGUCUCAUGUUCAUAACUGUACUACAUCUAUGUAUUUCCAAGAAUUUGAUGACCAACGUAGUCUUCAUGUACAAGUCUGAUUUCCCAUGUAUGGCAUACAGUCAUCUGCACUUUCGAAGUCCAAUCUUGUGCCACGUUUGUACUGCCACAGACCAGAAUAUAGUUCAUGCUGAUUGUAGA